UACAAAGGAGUGUCUUUGUAGCGCAUUAUGAGCUCAUGGCAAAAAAAAUAUUAUAAUUUUAUUGACCCGGCGCCACACGUCUAGACUAGAAGUACAACUGACUCUAUGUAUUUGAGGCCGACAUCACAUUUUAAUGGUCGAUCAAUUGAUACAGUGUCUUGACUUCCCCCCACCAUUUUUUUUUCCUGCCAAAGACAUUUUAAUUUCAAAAUACCAUGCCUAGGUUGUCCUCCCAGAGCUGUAAUGUUCAUGGCAUCAAAGUAUAUGAGUGUUUCUCCAGUACUGGUAUCAAAAAAAGUCACAGUAGGCCAAAAAUUAAAAGUGGAAGUUUUUGGUUUCAUUUUAGGUGUAUUCACUUCUUCACACAUUGUACUUUAAGAAUUUAUCAAUAGAAAAUGAAUUGGAAUACGUACAUUUCCUCAGCAGUGCUGGCAAAAGGGGUACCCACUUUUGCAUUUCAGGUGCAUCACUGGGACACCAUUGAUGAUUAAAGUACAACUAACUGCUAAUUUGUCUGCUUUUUUAGCAUAAUUUGAACAUUUCUAUUGUAUUAAGCAGCUAGAUAGAGAAAUUGAAGUUUCUGAGCACUUACGCUAUGUUUGCUCUCAAUUUAAAAAAUGGUACACCGUAGCACCUGUAACACUACUGGUAAAAGUUUUUUAAAUAUGAAUUUUGAUAAGAAAAUAGAAUUUAUGCUAUACUUGCAUUAUAGCUAAAUAUAUAGGCUAUUAUUUGCUGCAAUAUCUCAAUGAUAAUUCAAGCAUUUAUUAUAACAUGACUAUUAUAUCAUAAGAUGUUGCGGGUGCUACAAUAGGACACCAAUAUGAAAUAUAUAGUUUUUUUUGUUAAUACAAGCUGAAAUACAUUUUUUUUUAAGUCUGUAAAUACAUUACCAAUUAUUCUUUUAUUAGUGAUUCACAAAAUAGUUUUCUAUAACCACAAAUAAAUGUACUAGGCCUUUGUGUGUGUGUUCAACAAUCCUUUAAAUAUAUAUUAGACAUAACUGCCUCAAACAUGACCUAAUCAUAGACUAAAAGGUGCAGCUUUCUGACUUUCAAUGCACCAAGAACGAGAUCCAAAACUAGAUAGACUUGUUUAGUGUCCCGUGAAGCACCACAAACAAUGAUAAAACAAUAAGGUUUACAUAAAGUUAGAUUAAAAAAUAGUAUUCUAUGUAUUCUAGAUCAAACUUGAUAAUAAUUAGCUUAAUUCUUAUUAUAAUCCAAAACUUUGGUGAGAAAAAUACUUAUAUAUAGAUCUCUGAGAUUUUCUGGUAUGAUUGAACAUGCAGUGUUUCGGGUGCUACAGUGAAAAAAUGUGGGACACCUUGACUUUUAAUGUCUCCUGUUAAUUACUAUGUAGCCUUUUCCCAAAACAAUGGGGCUAAUUGUGUACAGUAUCAGAGAUACCAUUAAGUAAUUCCCAUCACAUUAAUAACUUAGUUUAAGUUCUUUUUGUCAAGCGCGUUUGAGGUGCUUCACCUGGGACACCAAGACCUAUUUUACUAAAAUUAUAUACAUUUUUACAGUUUCAAAGAAAAAUUACACUGUGUAAAUUAAUCAUUGAUGCUUUUAGUAACAGAAACACAAUUUGGAGCAGAAUCCUUUACUUUGUUUACAAUUGUUAAAGGUUGAAAAUUUCAAAUUUAUUGGGACACCAUGUGAUGCACCUGUGUCGCUUUUUUUACGGUGACAUCUAAGUAAUAUCAAAGUAAAUAUAAAAUAAAAAGAUAUAGAUAAUGCAAUAACAUUAUAUUGUUAACCUAUUUCAACAAAAAUGUCUGUUCAAUAAUCCUUGCUUUUAGUAGAAUAUUACUUCAAGCUAAGUCAGGUAUUUCAUGUUACAUCAAAAGAUGCCAUUUUGUGCACUUUUUCAAACAUUUUCUACAAUUUUAAAAUUCCACUAUGCACCUUUCAAGCUCAAAAUAUCACAAUUGAUACAAAAACCAUUUCUAAGUCCAAUGAAAAGAAAAUUGUGAUUUAUAGACUUUUUAGUGAACCAAUAACUAUUUGUCACCAGUACUGGAGAAACACUCAUAUGUAAUAAGAUCAAGAUUAAAAAAUGGGUACAAUUUGUGCAUAUCGAUGUAAAUCUAUUUACUUUAAAACAUAUGUAAUUUAUAUCUGUAGUUUGCAUUACAUUAUUUUGAAAAAUAACAAUUAAAAAAAUAAUAAUUUAAAUUAGGGGUGCACCGGAUAGUACUUUUUGAUAUCCGGUCGGAGCCCGAUAUGACCAGAUAGUAAAAUUUGAUAUUCGGCCAGAGCCGGAGCCGAAUACCUUUAGAAGUGUUUUGUAAAUAGCUUGUGUUGCUGAACAUUUUAGGAAACUAUUAAAUGUUAAAUAACAUACCUAUAUUGGUCUGCAAGCUUUAAAAUCUACACAGACGAAUCUCUUAUUGAUGUUGAUGAAGAAGACUUUGUACCCUUAGCGCUUCAUCAAUAUUCAAAUGAUGCCAACUUGGAUACAAGGAAGACUGAAAUCAAGAAAGUCGAUUAUUUAUCUGCUGAAAGUGGCAUCUGCUGCCAGUCAGUGAUGGACACAUGUAAGGCACCUCUUAAGGACAUAGCCUGUGAAAAAGGAACUAAUCAUAGCAAUGUAAAGGACUUGAAUUCAUUAUCAGUUCUAGAUUUGCCAAGCAGUUACCAGAAUGAUGAUAUGAUUUCUCUUAUCAAAUCAGCUGCUGAUCUGGCUGUGUUAAUACAGGUGCCAUGGGCAAAAACUGCACUUUUCUGUCAAGGCACAGGCAAAGUUGAUGACGUGUACAUUUUUAAAGAAAACACAAAGUGCCGUUGUUGCAAGUGUAGAGCAUCGGAACAUCCAAGUGCGACAUGGGGCAAGGUUUUAAUAGCCACAUCAACAAACCUGCUCACUGCAAGUUCAAAAGUCUCAGAUAUUAAAUGUACUUUUUUCUAUGACAAUGAUGAGACCAUGCAUCAUGUGAAGCACUUACAGGGAGAUGCUUAUGUAAGCAACAUGCAAGGAGUUUGUAAAUUUUUUGCAUACACAUGUGAUGUAGAAUUAUUAGAAAAGUUGGAAUCUUAUCUAGAUAUAUUCUCAGAAAAGUGGAUUGUUGCUUAUGAUAAAUAUUCUACAACUGUCAAGAGUGUUGAGGACAGAUUGUUAAUUAUGGUGUCACACCCUCACUCUUGUAAGAAACAUGUCUAUAUAGGAAAAUGGACCAAAUUGAGGCCCUAUGUACAAUUUGAUGCAACCACCUGUCCAGGCUGCGAAGGGUCCUUUUUAUUGAUUCCCAACUUCGAUAUCUUCGAUGAAGACUUUUCUUAACGAACUACAGCAGGGUCAGUCCCUAUACCUGGUUAUCUUUGUAUAUGAUACUUUUUUUCCAAAAAUAAUCAUUUCGUUCAACAAGAACCAGAUUAUAUUCUCUACUUUUUUUAUUAUUUGUUAUUUGAUAAUUGAUAAUGUUGACAUGACAAGAUAAGCAGUAUUCAUUUUGUAAUUUUUUAAUUUUUCUAGGUGUUUUUUUUUUUUGUUUUUUUAUGCUUGUUUUCUUGUGCUCCUUCCUAUGCAUUGUGGGAAUAAAGUAUUUCCAGUUAAGAUAUUUACAAAAUCAGAGUGUAACUGAAUUUAGAUCUAGUAGUUCGUAUAUCAGGUUUUACCAUUUUAGCUGUUAUUAAAUUUAAAAAUUUCAUGUUGCAUAAGUUUACAAGCUAAUUUAUGAUAAACUUACUAUUCUUCAAAUAACUUGAUAAUACUUGUAUUUAUAUCAGUGCAUCAAUAUGAUAUAUUUAUAUAUAUAUAGACACACACACUGGUAGGCUAUAUAUAGACUAACAUCCGGUUGCUGUCUCCAUAGGGAGAUUGGUCACUAGCAACAUAUGCUACCUCUUCCCUGGCAAUGUACUUAUUAAUAUAUGGCAGGAGUAUACAUUUGUAUAUAACUUAAUGUACUUAUUAAUAUAUGGCAGGAGUAUACAUUUGUAUAUAACUAAUUUUUCUCAUUUCAUUAAAGAACCCAAGUAUAAUUUCGCUUGAAGCAUUGACUUCUAAGGUUGUAUGUUGUUGUUAUUUAAUAAUUAAUAUGCUGUACUUUCCGUGUAUAAUCAGACUAAAAGACAAAAAUAAGUUCAUUUAUCAUGUUCUGUUACCUUUUGUGUGUUAAUAAAUAAUUGUAAAAUCA